GAUCUAGGCCCUGGAGCCAGCGCAGGACAGAACGACUCAGGCGGGAGCUCCUAGGCGGAUGUGGAUACACCAGACAUUUCUUUGGCUUCUUUCCUGCGGGAACUGCUGGUGGUGUAGAUAAUUGUAGCUUUCACUCCUCAUCUAAGAAGCUUCUCUUGGGAGCAAAUGGAAACCAUCACAGAAAACCACAACUGGACACAAUAGAGAGAUCCACAGAUGACGAGAAGCCUGGCUCCAAUGGAUCCAACGCCAUCAUAGCUCUGCCACUAUGGCUCAGAAAACAUUGGGGAAGAGAGGGAGGAAAGGCUACAAGAGCUAGAGCACCAGAAAGUCUUCUGUGAAUCCAGUUCUCCUGUAAAUGGCUGCAUGAGCAAGACCACGACAAUGGCAACAUCAGUGGAUGUGCUUAUGUGAAAGGGAGAAAGUAUCACAGGGUCCCAUUCCCAGACAAAGAACUAUGGGUCACAAAUGACUUCUGGGAGAAGGAGAAUCGGCUUCUACUAAGAAUGAACACACUUAUUGGUUUUCCAGUGCGGAGGGGAAAGUGAUAUACAAAUGACUAACCAAAUCAGGUUCUAUCAAGAUACAUAUACACAUACACAUACAUAUGUGUGUAUGUUAAUACAUAUAUACACAUAUAAAUAUAAACACAUAUACAUAUAUAUAAAACCUUGGAGAGAGAGAGAGCAUAAUAGUCAAGGAAAAUAUCAACUUGAGGAAUAAUUGGAGAAGUUGGAGUGGAGGGAGGGUAUCUGGGAGGGUGGCAGGGAGGAAAGAGGAGGUAGGGGUGAUACAAUACUAUUUUAAUCAAUAAAUAUGUAUUUUAAAAAUAAGAUAUUAGCUUUCACCAUGUCUAUGUCAAGUUGUUUAGCAUAUAUUUAGUACUAAUUUGUUGUAAUGUUAAUUUCUGCCUUUUUAAGUCCUUUGGGUUUUUCUUCCAAUUUAUUUAUUUAUUCACUUUACAUCUCUGGAUCAGCCCCGCUCUGCUCCCAGUACCCUUUUACACAAGAACCCCCAGUUAUGUGCUGGCUUUGAGAUAGACUGUAGCAGAUUUUUCUUCUUCUUCUUCUUUUUUUAGGUUAGGAAUUAUUUAUUGAAUAAAUUAACAGUGGUAACUGUG
ensembl:antisense 5330439A09Rik RIKEN cDNA 5330439A09 gene